GGCCGAUUAGACGUCGGACAGUUCCAAGGGGAGGAGAAGAAGAGGGGAGAGGAGCGAAGGAUAGCGGAAAGGAAAGAGGGAGGGAAAGCGAGAGGACUCCUCCGGGGUGCAUGAAGAGGUCAUCCCAGCUGUUCCUCCCUCUCUGCAUUAAGGAGAGAGGCUGAGGGGCUGUGAAAAAAAAAUUUGCAGUGGAUGCUGGCAUCUGUAAUCCAGCCUGUGCCACUUGGCCUGCGUAAGAGGCACCAGAGAAAUAUAAUUACUGCCUUAAUGUUGGCGUUAACCACUGGCAAGACACUUAAGCCAAGCAGACGGAGACAGAGCGAGGGGUGCCGAAGCAGAAGGGGAGAGGAGCGCCAACGCUCGGAGAGAGUUCGGAACGGCAGACGGGAACAAGACGGGCGACGGAGACGGCCGCGGAGCCAGAGCCCCCGUGGGGAGCGUGUUGGCCAGUUGGGAUUGCCGGUGCCAACGCUAUUGCUCAGAGGGAUGCAGCUCCAGGUGACGGAGGUCGUAACCCCCGGAGCAGGCGCUCAGUGUGGCGUAACCAUGCUGAAAGAGCAGCAAAAGAAAAACAAAGAUCAGUGACCUGGUGAGAGUAACAGAUAACCUAAGAGGUCGGCCACCCCAGUGAAACAUCAACCACAAAACAGAACUUUUCCUUAAUGUAAAAACAGGGAUAAGCACCUUUAACACCAAAUAUCUUACAGAUUUCUUUUUAGAA